rnacentral:misc_RNA from 1 species
GAAAAAGUGGUGGCGGCCCUCUUCUCUCGCUAAACUCAUUAAUUAGCUUCACAAAAAUGGAGCCUUUUUCAUUUGUUUUGUUUUGUUUUGCUCGUGUUUUUUCUCAACUCUUGAAGAUAAUUUUUGUUGUUCAAACAUGCACCCAUUGAAGGAUGAUACCCAACUAUCUGUAUGCCUGAGAACCCAUGUACGCCAUAAAUUCAAUGUGUGUUUGACUUUGAUUUGUUAGGAUUAAGUGAAGAAUGGAAGUAAAAGGUUUCUAUUGAAUCAAAUGGGUACUCCUGGAAAAUUGAAGUCAGGCAAAUUGCUCAAAAUUAGGGAAAGUCUCUUCAAUUAAAUUCACAUAUAGAUAAUCCCUUUUCUUUAUUGUUACAUAUGUUUAAAGUUGUGUUCAAGAAAUCCAUGGUAUGGAAAGCUAUGUCAGGAAAUUGCUAUUGUAGGACAUUCUUCUAACCCCAUCAUGUUUUUGAUAUUAUAGGUCCAAAUCCAGCACUGCAGA